GAACCGUCCAAACGUUUGUUCGGUAUCACUGGGCUUAAAGCGUGCGUAGGCAGCUUGGUAGGCGAGAUGUGAAAUCCCACGGCUCAACCGUGGAACUGCGUUUCGAACCCCCAAGCUUGAGGAAGAUAGGGGUGAUGGGAACUUAUGGUGGAGCGGUGAAAUGCGUUGAUAUCAUAGGGAACACCGGUGGCGAAAGCGCAUCACUGGAUCUUUUCUGACGCUGAGGCACGAAAGCUAGGGUAGCGAACGGGGGAUUAGAUACCCCGGUAGUCCUAGCCGUAAACGAUGAGCACUGGGUUGAGGGAACUAUCACAUUCUCUCGGCCGUAGCGAAAGCGUUAAGUGCUCCGCCUGGGGAGUAUGGUCGCAAGGCUG
rnacentral:rRNA from 1 species